UGGUGCAUAGACAAAAACAAAUAACCUAUCUGAACAGCGGGGAACAAAAAUUUACAUAAACAGAAGGGGAAAUAGAGGGUUUAUAAUAAAUAAUCUAGUUCCUCUUCAGUUACUGAAACAGAGGGGGAUCUAGUCUCCACUUUGAUAGUGUCUAGUUCCCCUUCCGUAAAAACGUACAUAAACAGAAGAGGAAAUAGAAGGCUCAUACUAAAUAGUCUAGUUCCUCUUCAGUUACUGAAACAGAGGGGGAUCUAGUCUCUACCCUGCAGACACCUGGGGUUUGCACAGGGAUAAGAGACACACGAUGGCAGGGUACACCUCCCCCCUGUGCACAAGCAGUAUAGGUGAUGUCAGAUUUAUGUGAAGCAGUCUUCCAAAUACACAGCAAAGAAAGAAGGGCACAACAAAGUGACCCCCUGGCGCUGAUUGGCAAAUGUUAGUGGCAGCAAACAGCCAGCUGGAGACUUUGGAGAAGUGCUGACCUCUGCUGCCAACGCCAGUGCUACAGAAGACCUGACAGAAAAGGAUCUCGAAACCCAGUGAAAUCACCAUUGUAUUCAGCCAACACUCAAAGAUGCUGCAAGAAAAUUGAAAGCACACCCAGAGCGCCCUCUUGUGUUCCCAAUGGACAUAUCCCAUGUCUUUAGUUCUCUUUGCCUUGUGUUUUACAUUUGACAUGUACUCAUCACCUAUUCUCAAUAGAGGCAGGUAUCUGUCAAUUCACUUAAUAUAUAUUAUCAGUGUUAA